rnacentral:rRNA from 1 species
AACGAACGCUGGCGGCGCGCCUAAUACAUGCAAGUCGAGCGAGAAGACGUAGCAAUACGUUUGUAAAGCGGCGAACGGGUGAGGAAUACAUGGGUAACCUACCCUCGAGUGGGGAAUAACUAGCCGAAAGGUUAGCUAAUACCGCGUACGCUCCUUGGACUUCGGUUCAGGGAGGAAAGCGAUACCGUGGGUAUCGCGCUCUUGGAUGGGCUCAUGUCCUAUCAGCUUGUUGGUGAGGUAACGGCUCACCAAGGCUUCGACGGGUAGCUGGUCUGAGAGGACGAUCAGCCACACUGGCACUGCGACACGGGCCAGACUCCCACGGGAGGCAGCAGUAAGGAAUAUUGCGCAAUGGGCGAAAGCCUGACGCAGCGACGCCGCGUGGGGGA